rnacentral:rRNA from 1 species
GACGAAGGGGGCUAGCGUUGUUCGGAAUUACUGGGCGUAAAGCGUGCGCAGGCGGUUGUGCAAGACAGAGGUGAAAUCCCCAGGCUUAACCUGGGAACUGCAUUCGAGACUGCAUUGCUAGAGUAUGGGAGAGGGAAGUGGAAUUUCCGGUGUAGCGGUGAAAUGCGUAGAUAUCGGAAGGAACAUCAGUGGCGAAAGCGACUUCCUGGACCAAUACUGACGCUCAUGUGCGAAAGCGUGGGGAGCAAACAGG